GCUGGGCCUGGUGGCUCAUGCCUAUAAUCCCAGCUACUUGGGAGGCUGAGGCAGGAGGAUCACUUGUGCCCAGGAGUUUGAGGCUGCAGUGAGUCAUGAUUGCACCACUGCAUUCCAGCCUGGGUGACAGAGUGAGACUCUGUCUCUA
rnacentral:SRP_RNA from 1 species